UCCCUCAUAGCUCAGUUGGUAGAGAAUCUGCCUACAAUGCAGGAAGCCCAGGUUCAACCCCUGGGUCGGGAA
rfam:Ovis aries breed Texel chromosome 5, whole genome shotgun sequence.